CCUACGGGAGGCUGCAGUGAGGAAUAUUGGUCAAUGGACGAGAGUCUGAACCAGCCAAGUAGCGUGAAGGAUGACUGCCCUAUGGGUUGUAAACUUCUUUUAUCAAGGAAUAAAACGAGGCACGUGUGCCUCUUUGCAUGUACUUUAUGAAUAAGGAUCGGCUAACUCCGUGCCAGCAGCCGCGGUAAUACGGAGGAUCCGAGCGUUAUCCGGAUUUAUUGGGUUUAAAGGGCGCGUAGAUGGGUUGUUAAGUCAGUUGUGAAAGUUUGCGGCUCAACCGUAGAAGUGCAAUUGAUACUGGCAGUCUUGAGUACAGUUGAGGUAGGCGGAAUUCGCGGUGUAGCGGUGAAAUGCUUAGAUAUCACGAAGAACCCCGAUUGCGAAGGCAGCUUACUAAACUGUGACUGACAUUGAUGCUCGAAAGUGUGGGUAUCAAACAGGAUUAGAUACCCCGGUAGUC
rnacentral:rRNA from 1 species